rnacentral:rRNA from 1 species
AUUGAACGCUGGCGGAAUGCUUUACACAUGCAAGUCGAACGGUAGAGGGGGCAACCCCUCGAGAGUGGCGAACGGGUGAGUAAUAUAUCGGAACGUGCCCAGUCGUGGGGGAUAACGUAGCGAAAGUUACGCUAAUACCGCAUACGAUCUAAGGAUGAAAGCGGGGGAUCGCAAGACCUCGCGCGAUUGGAGCGGCCGAUAGCAGAUUAGGUAGGUAGUGGGGUAAAGGCCCACCAAGCCAACGAUCUGUAGCUGGACUGCGAGGACGACCAGCCACAAUGGCACUGAGACACGGUCCAGAGUCCUACGGGAGGCAGCAGUGGGGAAUUUUGGACAAUGGGCGAAAGCCUGAUCCAGCCAUUCCGCGUGCAGGAUGAAGGCCCUCGGGUUGUAAACUGCUUUUGUACAGAACGAAAAGGUUUCUACUAAUACUAGGAGCUCAUGACGGCACUGUAAGAAUAAGCACCGGCUAACUACGUGCCAGCCGCCGCGGUAA